GCUCUGUUUGGCGGGUUUCUGACGAACUCAUCGAACGAGGAACAAAGUUGCUCGCCGGACACCAACUUUAUCUUUGGUUUAGAACCCUCGUCAGUUAUCAGAUUUUAUCCAUUGCUGAUUUUCUUCUCAAAAUGACGGCGAGCUACCUACACAUCGCUUUGCGGAGAAGAAGAAGGAAGUUGUUGGUGAAUCCACGUCAGCGGGAUCCAAACUUUUGAACCGGUCAUCCACAUUGUGACGGCAAACGAGAAGUGGCGUCGUUCGCCAAACUCCAAUGAUCAGCGGGUGAGGAAUUUCCCAGAUUACCAUGACAAGACAAUCAGUUAAAAGAAAGAAUGUGCCAGUGGAUAUUGAGUCAGAAAAGUAAC